rnacentral:rRNA from 1 species
UAACGCGUGAGUAACCUGCCCUAGAGUGGGGGACAACAGUUGGAAACGACUGCUAAUACCGCAUAAGCCCACGGUACCGCAUGGUACUGAGGGAAAAGGAUUUAUUCGCUUUAGGAUGGACUCGCGUCCAAUUAGCUAGUUGGUGAGGUAACGGCCCACCAAGGCGACGAUUGGUAGCCGGACUGAGAGGUUGAACGGCCACAUUGGGACUGAGACACGGCCCAGACUCCUACGGGAGGCAGCAGUGGGGGAUAUUGCACAAUGGGGGAAACCCUGAUGCAGCGACGCCGCGUGGAGGAAGAAGGUUUUCGGAUUGUAAACUCCUGUCGUUAGGGACGAUAAUGACGGUACCUAACAAGAAAGCACCGGCUAACUACGUGCCAGCAGCCGCGGUAAAACGUAGGGUGCAAGCGUUGUCCGGAAUUACUGGGUGUAAAGGGAGCGCAGGCGGGAAGACAAGUUGGAAGUGAAAACCAUGGGCUCAACCCAUGAAUUGCUUUCAAAACUGUUUUUCUUGAGUAGUGCAGAGGUAGAUGGAAUUCCCGGUGUAGCGGUGGAAUGCGUAGAUAUCGGGAGGAACACCAGUGGCGAAGGCGGUCUACUGGGCACCAACUGACGCUGAGGCUCGAAAGCAUGGGUAGCAAACAGGAUUAGAUACCCUGGUAGUCCAUGCCGUAAACGAUGAUUACUAGGUGUUGGGGGAUUGACCCCCUCAGUGCCGCAGUUAACACAAUAAGUAAUCCACCUGGGGAGUACGACCGCAAGGUUGAAACUCAAAGGAAUUGACGGGGGCCCGCACAAGCAGUGGAGUAUGUGGUUUAAUUCGAAGCAACGCGAAGAACCUUACCAGGUCUUGACAUCCGAUGCAUAGCACAGAGAUGUGUGAAAUCCUUCGGGACAUCGAGACAGGUGGUGCAUGGUUGUCGUCAGCUCGUGUCGUGAGAUGUUGGGUUAAGUCCCGCAACGAGCGCAACCCUUAUUGCCAGUUACUACGUUAAGAGGACUCUGGCGAGACUGCCGUUGACAAAACGGAGGAAGGUGGGGAUGACGUCAAAUCAUCAUGCCCUUUAUGACCUGGGCUACACACGUACUACAAUGGCGUUAAACAAAGAGAAGCAAGACCGCGAGGUGGAGCAAAACUCAAAAACAACGUCUCAGUUCAGAUUGCAGGCUGCAACUCGCCUGCAUGAAGUCGGAAUUGCUAGUAA